CGGUAAGUGGAGCGAUACGAAUACUAGUCGUCAGAUUCCUGGAAAAAAUAUGUUUUUCUUAGCGAUCUUAUUAUGUUUCAAACAAAGAAACAUUACGAUAGGCUAAACAGUGAGAUACGUGUAAAAAGUAAACACGCAUCGAAAUAAAAUGAUGCUACUGGUCAGAAAAUUUUAAUAAAGAGAGAGAGAGAAGGAGAGGGAAAAAGAAGAGGUUAUGUAAAGAGAAGAAGAAAACUAAAUGAAGUGAUUUUCAGAAUGAAUCAAUGAUCCGUAUAAAAGAAACCACUAAGUAUAUUAAUAUAAAGCAAAAUCGUUUAAUCGCACUCAGAAUAACUAUCAAAUUUUAGAUAUGAAAGGUCCAACUUGUUACUUUAAAUGCCUAAAGUAAAUUAAUAUACAUUAUAAAAAUAUAUUUCUAAAUAAUAGCUAACUAAUGUACCAAAUCAUUAUAAUCAGUUGUAUUUAUGAAUAAUGUAUAAAUUAAAUAUCACAAAAAUAAUUAUGAAAAAAUAAUUUGCUCUUUUUAAAAUAUUUUUUGCAAUUUUUAGAAUAUUUUAUUUGAGAUAUACUAGUAUAUUAUAUGCUGUAUAUAUAUAGCACAAUACAUUAUAAUAUAUAUGGUAUACUAUGUAUGUAACAGAGUAGCACAAUUAUUAAUUAUUAUUAUCAUUACGUAUUUAAUAACAAUUGUAACUUUUAACAUGUAAAAUGUAUUUUUAUUUUAAACAGAAAUGUUUAGAACUACAGUAGAAAACAAAUUAAACAGUUGCUGUAAUUACAUGGUUCAAGAUCGUAACGUAACAAAGAAUAUCUAAAUAGCCAGAGGUGGGUGAUAUUUACACUGAAUGUACGGAAGGAAAGUUAUAUUCGACAAAUUUGAUUGAUAUUUAAAAAUCUGUGAUACACGAUGAGUCACUUUAUAAUUCUUAUCACCUGUUCCAUUGAGUGCAACAAAGACAGACUGUACGUGCGUUAAUCAAAAGAGACGAUAGUGUCCGACAAGGAUGAGCUACACUGGUGGUGAUAAAAAAGGAAGACGACAAUGUGCAACAAGGAUGUAUAAGGGCAUAGGCGUAUUGAAAUGCUCCUAGACGUAUUGAGACGCACGUAGAUACGUGGCGAUGCGUAGAAACGCGCGCAAACAGCUGAAGAUGUGUGGAAACGUGCCUGUACCUCGUCUGUGCCACUAGUAUACUUAAUCGAUUGCGAUGUAUACGAUACGAGAAUGAUGUACUCGAAUUGUGUGGCACAAAAAAUUAUUGCAUGUUAUUCUGUACCUCGUUUGUGAUUCUGUAUGAAGAUAUGUCUAUUAUCAUUGGCCACGGUCAUAUAUGAUUUAUAUGACCGUGAUUAUUAACCAAGGACAGAACGUGGUGUAUGGGUUCAUCCUAUACCUAGUUUUUGGCAUUAUAAUAUAAUCGUGAAUCCCAGGAUCGACCAUUGAAACCGGUUUUCAGAUGGAUGCUUUCCUCACUGAAUUAACGGUAGUAAGUCGUUGCAUCUUGUUUCUUUUAUUCUUCGUUACAGGAAAUGCCUUCUGCCAACUUACCGUAAUUUUUAUGUUCUAAUCUUUUGUAAUGAUAAAAUGUGACAAGUUAUUUCUUUGAAUAUUAUUCGUACGGGCAAUUGACCAUAAAAGUAAAUAUAAAUGAGAUAUAUCAUUAGCAGUCUGCAGAUAUUUACGCAAAUUCAUAUUUUUAUGAAUAUAAUUAAAAAAUGGUCAUUUAGAUAAAAGAUUUCAUCAACUAAAUAUGUAUUGCAAAGAGUUCUUAUCUUUGGCUAUUUUAUAUAUUUUUGCAUGUUCAAAUUUCUCAGAAAUGCAUAAAAUUACGCAGUUCAAUUAUUAAGUACACAAAAGUAAAUAAAUGAAAUGUAUUAUUUGCAAUUCAUUAUAGAUUCGUGUACCGGACUUAUACAAAUGGUUAUAUAAGGAAUAUAUUAGGUUUCAAACAAACAUUUAAACAUGUUAUCGCUGCGAGAUCUCUCGCGACCCUUUAUUACCAUUUUUCUUACUUUUUCUUUUAUCACAGUCGAUGCUACGAAAUACAUAUACAGAUUGCUUCUCACGUGUUCAACAAUAAAUAUAGGAAGGAGAGGAAAAAGAAAACUUAGAUACAAUCAUCGUUACCAGAGAACGAACACGAUGUUUUCCAUUAUCACGUUCGAAGUAAAAUGUCCAUUAACGUAAAAUACACGUUUCAGGAGAAAACCAACAGUAAGAGGAGGAGUAAAACUUUCAGCAUUCCAACUAGCAUAUUGAAAGCUGACACUUGUUACUCCGGUACGAAGAAAGCUCUUUACGAUCUCUUAUCGACGGUCACGCAAAUAUAUUACAAUAAUCAAAACCGGGUUGAAUAAUAUGUGAAUCGGUAACUCGUGUAAACUUCUUUUACACCUCCAUGCAAAUGCUGCACCCAUUAUUUCCAGUAUGAUUGCAGUCAUUUACAAUGGCUACGAAAAGUAUUUCCACACCAUUGUAUUUAUUAGAAUAUUUAUAUAUGAAUUAAUUAAAUUUAAGUAUAUGAACAUCUUUGAAUCAAUUUACAUUAUCAAAUUCUACUUCUUUAACAUUGUGACUAUGGAAAAGAAUUCCUAAGAAUUUGUAUAAUAUUUUUUUCGUCACUGUUUCUUCUACCUAGAUUCACAAUUUUACCAAAUUUGAAGAAAUUGACGUAUUUAUAAUACAAUAUAUUGCUAUAAUAUAUUGCAUGAUCCCAUAGGUUGUUUCAUACCUUCAUAUGACUACGAAAAUCUGAUAUUACGAAAAUGAAAUGUAGAAUCUGAUAACAAAAGAGCUUCAUUGAAAAAUGAAGAUAUAUGCAAAUAUUUGUUGUAACCACUGCGCUUCCUUUAUGUGUGGUUACCCGAUUUUGAUUAGAUAAAAUGAAAGAAAGAAAUAUAUAUGUAUAUGAACGAGGCGUUGUCGUCACGACAAAAGCAUCUGUUACAAAAUAAAAUUGCAAUAUGCAAAAAUGAUAAUUCCAUUGUUCUUCGCGUCUGUGAUAAUUGAGUGAAAAAUACUCAAUGAUCUCAGACACGAAAGUUAAUAUGUAUUAACAACAUUAUACAAUUGUGUUACUUCACUUAGGUGAUUAAAAAGGCACAUAGGCGUGCAUAGUCCGAGGCGUAUCGAGCGGUUUUCUCUCUGUGCUUCGAAAAGUGACUUAGAAGGAAGAUUACUAUUAUCGUGUGGGUAAUGUAAAAUGGCACCUCUGCCCACGCUCGUCUCUUCGUGUUUGAAAACAUCUCGAAAAUACUUUGUUUAAAUUUAAUUAUUUUGUUUAAUUUUAUAGAAGAAUAAUUCCACGUUUUUCCAAUCCACAAGUUAAUUUCGAGAAAAGAUUGAUACGCGUAAUCAAACAUUAGGCUAACGUUAGCUGCAUUUUCACAUUGAUGGCCGAUGACACUCGGCAGCCUCGGACAUUUUAACAAACUAUACAAACCGCAAACAUCUAUAUUGAACGUCACACCCGUACAUACGUGUAAAGAUAUACGUAUAUAGUGUAUAUAAUUAUUUAUACGCGAAACAUAAUCAUCAUACAGCAUUCCAUAAACAAUGGUAUCUGUCCGAUUUACUAUCAGAUCCUUGGUGGAUCGAUCAAUAGUGGACGGGCCUGUUCUAAAAUCUUUGUAAAACGUUUUAAAAAUUACGAUUUAAAAAAUUUCCUAUAAACCGCUGAAAUUUGAGUGAAUCUUCCGUAUUAGUGUGAAUAUAUGUACGUAUAGGCACGUUUCUCGUUUCUGAAUCCGUUAAAACAAGCAGUCGCAAAAAUUUUCAACUAAAUAUCUAUAGUCUCUACUCUAUGAUACGGUUCAAGCGAAAUCCUCCCGUUUCAACUACGAUUUUUUAAUUGCGCUUGGAAUCGAAGUGAAAUGCUCACGCAUUGCUUUGUUCUUUCGCGAUUAUCGUCGAGAUCAUGAACAAUCGUUAACACGUCUAUCGUUC